UACGUAGGGUCCGAGCGUUGUCCGGAAUUAUUGGGCGUAAAGGGCUCGUAGGCGGUUCGUCACGUCGGGAGUGAAAACUCGGGGCUUAACCCCGAGCCUGCUUCCGAUACGGGCAGACUAGAGGUAGGCAGGGGAGAGCGGAACUCCUGGUGUAGCGGUGGAAUGCGCAGAUAUCAGGAGGAACACCAGCGGCGAAGGCGGCGCUCUGGGCCGGUACUGACACUGAGGAGCGAAAGCGUGGGUAGCAAACAGG
rnacentral:rRNA from 1 species